GGCAGGUAACCUAGUGAUUAAGCACAUUGGGCCAGUAAUCGAAAGGUUGCUGGUUCAAAUCCCGAGCCGGCUAGGUGAAAAAUCUGUUGAUCUGCCCUUGAGCAAGGCACUUAACCCUAAUUGCUCCUGUAAGUUGCUCUGGAUAAGAGCAUCUGCUAAAUGACUCAAAUGUAAAUGUAUUCUGUUACCUGACACUGAAGAUGCAUGUGGAGAUACUGAGAAAGUGUGUCUCUCUGGUGUCUCUGCUGUUCUCCUCACACUCUCCUCUCUACUGGGUAUCCUGACUGAGGACACUCUGUGUGCUGCAUCCACUAGUUCUGUUUCAGAGAAAGCUCUUCCUGAUAAAGCCCUUCCAGAAUGUCUUGCAGCAGUCACUAAUGCCGAAGCCCUGCCAACAGAAGCAGUCGGAGGCACCAGUAGCUCCUCCACAUUACUGAAGACUUCUCUUGAAGUUGAUUCAGCUGCUCUCUCAUCUACAGAGGCAGAGGAGAGCCUGGCCAGACUGGAUUUAGGUGAAAUUGUUAAUUCUUUCCCUCUCUCACUGCGAGGUGCAGAAGGAACCCUGGUCAGGCUGGAGAUGGAUGAUUUGUCUGUACCCUUCAGAGAUUCAUCAGAAUGAGCUGUGAGGAUAGAGGAUGCAAUGGCAAAGGUAUCCCGAAUGACGACACUAUCCAUGCUGCUCUGGCUCCCACUAUCUCCGAGGAGGAUACUUUCUCUCAGCUAAAGAGGUAUUACUCCAGGCAGACGGCAUGCAAGACAGGCUGUCCAUUGAGGGAACUUUGUGGAACACCACCACAUCAUCAGACAUCACCUCUGUUGGGUCAUUCACCCAAACCUUAUUCCCCUCACCAACCGAAAGAGUCCAGGUCAAACUACCCCUGGAAGAUACACCUGAGGAUAGACGUCUGUCGCUGUGGAAGACAAUGGUCUCCGGAGGAUUCUCAGAGUGGACAAUGACGGUGUUGUUGGUCGGGGCGCUGUCGGUGCUGAUCAGGACCGCAGAGUGGUUGGCCUCCAGUAGACUGUCCCCUGACGGAGAUCUCUGGAACACGGCUGACUGCACUGCAGAACCCGGCCCGGCCUGGGCCCCCUCCUCUUCCACAGCUGGGCUGGGUUGAUCUCCAAGCUGGGCUGGGCUGGACUGAGCUCCAUCUCCAGGGAGGGUUGGGCUGGAUUGACCUCCAACGUCAUCUCCAUUGUGGGUUCCUCCAGGGGGACUGCUCAGCGACUGAGCCUGCUCAUCUGGCCCACCCAUGGGCUCACUGGAGGGGACAUUGGACUCCUGGGUGGAUCUUGGGCUGAUCCUCUGGCUGACUGACAGUGUCUCCUCAGCCAGGAGGAGCAACAUCUGGUCGCAGUGCACAGGUGCAGGCUCUCCGGGUGGAUACUGUAGGCCUUGCUGCCUGUGCAUUAAGUCUAUGGAAG
rnacentral:lncRNA from 1 species